rnacentral:sRNA from 1 species
GUCAGCACCCCGCACUCUCUGUGACGGGGCUAUGCGCGGAGCGCAGGCUUCGCGAAGUAAUGCCUCUAACUUUAGUUAGUUCGUACCCGCCUAAGUCUUAACUGACUACGUUUUUUGAGUCAAGACACCCUGUUGGAUGCGUAGCUAGUCCCUGGCUCUGUCGUUAGUAGUUAAACAGUUUUACGAGGGGUAAGACUGAUGCUCCUAGCCUAACAAGCUCUUAAAACCUUAUUGAAGCUAACUUUACCCUAGAAAUAGG